rnacentral:lncRNA from 1 species
AUUUAAUCCUGGGGUUCAAUUAGUGACUGGAGUGUAGCUGCCGCCGCCACCACCACCACCACCACCACCACCACCAUCUUAUCACCGCCAGCAAUGAGAUCUCAAGACAUUCUGUAAACAUUUCUUUGGCAUGUAUCAGUGUCCCUGAGAGCGUUGAUAAUCUGCUUGAAUGUGAGCUCAAUGCUGGGACGGCCUCCCCGGACUUGGCAGGCAGCCCUUGAACAAACCUUUUGUGCCUGCAUCCCUCUGAUGGACAGGCACUGAGGAUGCCGGUGACCCAGCUUCUAGAAAGAAUCACAGCAGGGAAGGGGCAUUGCUAAGUAGUCUUCCAACCUGGGGACACAAGCUAAAAAUGAGAGAAAACUCAGAUCAACAGUGCUGCUGAGCUUAUUACGUUUAAGACGAAAAACAAUACCUGAUUAAAGCAACAAAACACCUGGAUAUUUUGCAGUUAGCCCCGUUAAUCAGAGAAGGAUGAGCCUUGGGGCUGUGGCUCAGGUUCCUAAUCCUGUUGCUAGAGUUUUUCACUUUUGUUCUCAUUUCUGCGGCUGACAUGGGAUCCUACAGAUUGUUUAUCCCAAGGCUGUCUGGGCCUGGGCUCUGUGAACAGUGUCACUCUAAAAAUAACAGGCUGUGCCGAGAAUAGCAGACUUUCUCCUUUUUCCUGCAGAAGACGACUUCUCAGCUCCUUGGAGGGGUCAGUACGAGGUGAGAGCCAUAGAAAGAUGGCAACGAAAAAGAAAGAGACAUUCUGCAAUGGGUUGAAUGGGGUCUCCCUGACAUUUACAUCACCCAGAACCUCAAAAUAUGACCUUAUCUGGAAACAGGGUCUUUUGAGAUGUCAUGGAUUCUGCUGCCAUCAGCAGAGAGACAGAAAGGUCUGCCCUCUGGAAGUCAGCUGAAGCCCAGUGCAAAGUGCAGCUGGUCAAGACAUUGUGGUUCUCAAUCAGGAACCCUUUGCAAUGUCAGCCUCCCCUAGGAUGAGUGAGCAAGCUUGGCGGGAAUAUGGGGGUGUUGAUUAUGGUCUCUCCUCUGGGACAUUCAGAAUCAAUCUGUCCGUCGCAAGAUCGAAAUAAAGUGGUGAUAUAGAUGAGUCUGAGAACUUAUCUACAACUCACAGCAGCAACUCUCUGUGUAAAUGUUAAUUGUACAAUCAGGGUAAAAAAAAUAACUCUAAUACCAUAUGUGCAUGUUAGGAAAUUAUCUAAGUGCAUAUGGAAUCGGGAGCUCAGAGGCUGAAGGAACUGAAAGGAUUUUCCAUAUAAAAUUCUUUACUGCAUGUUACAGGCUGAAUUGUGUUUCCUCAAAAUUUAUAUGUUAAAUCCUAAACAUUGGGACCUCAGAAUGUCACUGUAUUUGGAGAUAAGGUCUUUAAAGAGGUGAUUAAGGUAAAAUGAGGUCACUAAGAUGGGCACCAAUCCAAUAGGACUGGGGUCUUUAUAAGAAGAGAAUAUUAGGACACAGACAUAAAUACAGGGACGACCCUGUGAGGACAAAGGGAGAAGACAGCAUCUACAAGCUCAGGAGAGAAGCUUUAGGAGGAGCCAACCCUUCCCAUACCUUGAGCUUAGACUUCCAGCCUCCAGGACUGUGGGAGAAUAAAUGUCUGCUGUUUGUAAACCACCCAGUCUAUGGUGUGCUGUUAUAGCAGCCUGAAAUGGACUAAGCCAUCUCAUAAGAAGAGGAGACAGAUACACACAGAGGGACAACCAUUUGAGGACACAGGGAGAAGACAGUGUCUACAAGCUCAGGAGAGAGGCCUCGAGAGGAACCAGCCCUGCCCACACCUUGAUCUUGGAAUUCCAACCUCCAGGACUGUGGAGAAUAAGUGUCUGUUGCUUGUAAGCCAUUAAGUCUAUGGUAUUAUGUUACAGAAGCCUGAAAUUGACUAAGACAUCUCAUAAGAAGAAGAGAUGAGGACACAGACACACACAGAGGGACGACCACAUGAGGACACAGGGAGAAGAUGGCAUCUACAAGGCUACGAGAGAGGCUUCAGGAGGAACCAGCCGUGCUCACCCCUUGAUCUCAGAUUUCCAGCCUCCAGAACCGUGAGAAAAUAAAUCUUUGUUGUUUAAGUCACCUGGUCUGUGGAACUUUCUUAUGGAAGUCCUAGAAAACUAAUAUACUGCAUGAAAAGAAACCUUCCUAUAACAUCAUUCAUGAGGAUAAAUUUAGCUUGUAUUGUGUUUCUUCAUCGUCAAUAACUUAGAAUAAAAUGUGAGAAGAACAGUAAUGUAAACAUACUGAUAUUUACCCCAAAUGGGAAAAUUGUAGCUAGUAUUUUCCCUCAAGAAGAUCUGUUCCCUUUAUUAUAGAAUUGCUAUUCCAACCACUUCAAUAUUAUAAUUCCUACUAUCUUCCUUAACAUCUCUAUAAAAUAAACCUUAAACAUUUUCCAUCAACAUCUUGCAAAUCAAUUUGCAGGCCAAAAAUUAUUUCUAACAUCUUCCUGAAUUUUUUCAUAUGAUAAUUUAAAUUUAUACUCUCUUUGUUUCCUUUGUGAAAAAACAAUUCCUAGUUAGAAUGAGAAGAAAGCCCCAAUUAUGUUGGGAUUAAAUGCCGGGAACAAUUAAAUGUUGGGAACAUUUUAGUUCAAAAGAAGACCAUGUUUCAUUUCAUUUACCCUUCAAGAAAGGUAAGGUGAAUAUUAUCAUAUAUUUUUCCUCAAUUCCUUGCUAUUCACCCAU